GUCGCCGUAGGCAAAUGGUUAAGCCGCCUGGUGGUCCGCCAUUAGGAAAUGUGGGUUCGAUUCCCACCGACGGCA
rnacentral:tRNA from 1 species